GACGAACGCUGGCGGCGUGCUUAACACAUGCAAGUCGAACGGAAAGGCCCUGCUUUUGUGGGGUGCUCGAGUGGCGAACGGGUGAGUAACACGUGAGUAACCUGCCCUUGACUUUGGGAUAACUUCAGGAAACUGGGGCUAAUACCGGAUAGGAGCUCCUGCUGCAUGGUGGGGGUUGGAAAGUUUCGGCGGUUGGGGAUGGACUCGCGGCUUAUCAGCUUGUUGGUGGGGUAGUGGCUUACCAAGGCUUUGACGGGUAGCCGGCCUGAGAGGGUGACCGGCCACAUUGGGACUGAGAUACGGCCCAGACUCCUACGCGAGGCAGCAGUGGAGAAUAUUGCACAGUGGUCGGAAGCCUGAUGCAGCCACGCCGCGUGCGGGAUGACGGCCUUCGGGUUGUAAACCGCUUUCGCCUGUUACGAAGCGUGAGUGACGGUAAUGGGUAAAGAAGCACCGGCUAACUACGUG
rnacentral:rRNA from 1 species